AGAGGGUGCGAGCGUUAAUCGGAAUUACUGGGCGUAAAGGGCACGUAGGUUGAUGAAUUAGUCAUGAGUGAAAUCCCCGGGCUCAACCUGGGAAUGGCCUGUGAUACUGUUCAUCUAGAGUAUGGUAGAGGGAAGUGGAAUUUCCGGUGUAGCGGUGAAAUGCGUAGAGAUCGGAAGGAACACCAGUGGCGAAGGCGACUUCCUGGACCAAUACCGACACUGAGGUGCGAAAGCGUGGGGAGCAAACAGGGAUUAGAUACCCUGGUAGUCCACGCCGUAAACGAUGAGAACUAGCCCGUUGGAGACGAAAGUUUUUAGUGGCGCAGCUAACGCGAUAAGUUCUCCGCUGGGGAUACGGCCGCAAGGUUA
rnacentral:rRNA from 1 species